rnacentral:rRNA from 1 species
GACGGAGGGUGCAAGCGUUGUUCGGAAUUACUGGGCGUAAAGCGCGUGUAGGCGGCUUGCUAAGUCUGAUGUGAAAGCCCGGGGCUCACCCCCGGAAGUGCAUUGGAAACUGGCGAGCUCGAGUCCCGGAGAGGAGGGUGGAAUUCCUGGUGUAGCGGUGAAAUGCGUAGAUAUCAGGAGGAACACCGGUGGCGAAGGCGGCCCUCUGGACGGUGACUGACGCUGAUACGCGAAAGCGUGGGGAGCAAACAGG